GGAUGUGAGGGCAGCCAGGUCAUGACGUCUCAAACACUGUUGCUGACCAGGGUUCAUUUGGCUCCUCUGGCUGGCUAAGCAGGUCCCCAUCCCCCUCACUACUCCCAUGUGCAUCUCUCUGAAGCUGCUUGUUUGGUCAAAGAGGAUGACCUUUUCCAACUAGAAGAAGAUCUGUCUAUGAGUACCUGUGCUUGCCUGCUAGAACCUUCAAACAACCUCUCCUGUUCUAGAAGAAACACAACCCCCCACCCCCCCAGGCUUGAAGCUGAAGUGCCAGUGUUUUCAGAAGAU
ensembl:misc_RNA 7SK 7SK RNA